UGAGAAAUGACGUUUUUGCCCUCUGUUUUCCCUCAACUUACGGUGUUGCCAUCGUCCUACAAAUAUCUGUUUUCAGUUGUUCGGGAAGCCUCUACUUACACCGACCUCAACCUUUGACUGUAUCUCUUUCUUCGGGAAGCAUCUGUUUACACCGACCUCUACUGUUACACCCAAAUACCCAAAUCGUUGAUCCCAAUCGUGCCACUACUGAUUCCUCCGUGUCUUCUACAGCCAUAUAAACGACAUUGAGAGAGUUAGGUACCCAAUACAAUUUCUUUAGGAAUUCACUCUUUGUGGCCCUAUACUAUCAGUUUUGAACAAGCGAACUCAUCUCCGGUGAGAAGCAGAAAGAAAGCAGCCGAGAGAAAAAGAGAGAGAGAGGGUACGUAUCGGUGCAACCCAGCUACAACCGAUUGUUACAUCAAUGUUUUCCUCCAUGAUCGAGAGAUAGAGCCAUCGUUUGGAGGAGUUUUUGAUGGUGCAACCCAGGUAUUAUUGCAAGCUCUUUCUC